rnacentral:misc_RNA from 1 species
GAUGAAGAACGUAGCGAAAUGCGAAAAGUAAUGUGAAUUGCAGAAUUCAGUGAAUCAUCGAAUCUUUGAACGCACAUUGCGCCCGCCAGUAUUCUGGCGGGCAUGCCUGUUCGAGCGUCAUUUCAACCAUCAAGCCCCAGGCUUGUGUUGGGGACCUGCGGCUGCCGCAGGCCCUGAAAACCAGUGGCGGGCUCGCUGUCACACCGGGCGUAGUAGAUUUUAUCUCGCUCAGGGCGUGCUGCGGGUUCCGGCCGUUAAAAAGCCUUUUUUACCCAAGGUUGACCUCGGAUCAGGUAGGAAGACCCGCUGAACUUAAGCAUAUCAAUAAGCGGAGGA